CCGUUGUUGAAGUCCUCAACCUUCCGCUCGCUCAUGGCUCAGAGGUGGGGUGGACAACAAAAUUGACUUUUAAUGAAUUUCACUGCAGCUGAAGAAAACAGAAAUUAUUUUCUGUACCUACUGAUUAUCCCUUAGAACAUGAGAGGCUGCAUUUACAGUAACUAGAGGAAGACAUAGAGGUAAUCUGGAAUCUACUUGUCACAGUUUGUAGAUUUUAUGAUGCAAUUUUUGUCCAGUAAUUUUAGGACAAUGAAGGGAAAUACUGGAGCCUUGUUACAAAGAGAAAGGAAAACCCUAAACUUUAAAAUUAUAUUCUAAGGAUGUGUCAAAUAUCUAUUCAAAACAACAGAAGAGUGUUACCUCACCAAUGAAUAUUCCUACUAAAACAGAUUGAAGACCUUACAGAAGAGGAAGAGGUGGAGGACGCACCCUUUGCUUUCUUCAGAAGCAUGGAGACAUACUCAUUAUUAGGAGAGAGAUCCAGCAGUUUCUUGGUGCUCUGUGGCUCCUGCAGAGGGAGCUCUACUUGGUCUGGAUUUGCUGUGAGCCUCCUGCUAGGUCCAUGGCUUUAGCACUUUCUUCCCUCACAUGGGCCUGGGAAAACCUCUCAGAGUGUGUAAUAGCAGCAUGUACCUGUCUGUCAACAAAGAAGUCCUAGAUGUGAAAUCACCACCGAGGCAGCUGCCAGGAACAGAGCAGCAAGCUACCCGAGCUUUACAGAGCCACCCAAACCUUUGUGGCUAAGAAGCCAGUUGCAAGCAGCAAUUAAUGACUGGGAUUUCAUUUCCUAUUCUUCAAAGACACCUUCUCAUCACCCUUUUGUAGAGAAUAUAUUACUAAGGACUUCCAGUGAGAACAAGGUGUCAGGGAUUCUUGUAGCAAUUGUGCAAGAAAGACUCAUCAAAAUCACACACAGAAAUCAAGAAAAUUAAGCCAAGUAUACAUGAGUAUGUAUCCACUGCUUAUACUUACAAGGGAGGUACAUCCCGAACUUCAUUAUCAGUGUAUGGUUUGACAUGUCCCUUAUAAUGCAACUCAUUACAUUUACAAAUAAGCCUUCACAGGUGUUGAGAUUAGAAUGGCUGGCUGGACCUUGCCUUUUGUUCACAGAGAGGGAAGAGCAUGUAGGUUCAUUAUGCAUAUGUUUACUUAAACUGGCUCUAUCAGAAAAUGUUUCUCUCUUCUUGCUGAAAAAAUGUGAAGAUGCAUUUCUAAGUCUAUAUGUCAGGGAGUGUCUAAGUGCCUUAGUAGGGCAAUGCCUCUUUUUUUGCACCUUAUUGAAGGAUCUUGGAAAUGAAUCAAAUCCCCUUUUGUCACCACCCUGGGCAAAUGGGGAGUGAAGAUUAGGAAGUUGGGAAAGGAGGGGCAGUCCAAUUGUUUUUAUCCAGGGAAAACUGAAGAUAGUUUCUACAUGUGCAUUCCAGGCCAUAAACUGUCUUUUGAGAUUCAUUCUUGGGAAGAACAUGGAAAAAAAGAAAUGAAUAACUUG
ensembl:lncRNA